rnacentral:rRNA from 1 species
UACGUAGGGUGCGAGCGUUGUCCGGAAUUAUUGGGCGUAAAGAGCUCGUAGGCGGUUUGUUGCGUCUAUCGUGAAAACCUGCGGCUUAACUGUGGGCUUGCGGUGGAUACGGGCAGACUUGAGUUCGGUAGGGGAGACUGGAAUUCCUGGUGUAGCGGUGAAAUGCGCAGAUAUCAGGAGGAACACCGGUGGCGGAGGCGGGUCUCUGGGCCGAUACUGACGCUGAGGAGCGAAAGCGUGGGGAGCGAACAGG